rnacentral:rRNA from 1 species
GUGGGGAAUAUUGCACAAUGGGGGAAACCCUGAUGCAGCGACGCCGCGUGAAGGAAGACGUACUUCGGUAUGUAAACUUCUAUCAGCAGGGAAGAAGAUGACGGUACCUGACUAAGAAGCCCCGGCUAACUACGUGCCAGCAGCCGCGGUAAUACGUAGGGGGCAAGCGUUAUCCGGAUUUACUGGGUGUAAAGGGAGCGUAGACGGUGAAGCAAGUCUGAUGUGAAAACCCGGGGCUCAACUCCGGGAUUGCAUUGGAAACUGUUUUACUUGAGUGCUGGAGGGGCAAGCGGAAUUCCUGGUGUAGCGGUGAAAUGCGUAGAUAUCAGGAAGAACACCGGUGGCGAAGGCGGCUUGCUGGACAGUAACUGACGUUGAGGCUCGAAAGCGUGGGGAGCAAACAGGAUUAGAAACCCGAGUAGUCC